rnacentral:rRNA from 1 species
GACGAACGCUGGCGGCGUGCUUAACACAUGCAAGUCGAACGAUGAAGAAGAGAAACGCGAACUUCGGUUCAAAUUUCACUUCGGAUUAGUGGCAGACGGGUGAGUAACGCGUGAUCAACCUACCUCUUACAAAGGGAUAGCCUCGGGAAACCGUGAUUAAUACCAUAUGACACAUUCAUAAGGCAUCGUAAGAAUGUUAAAGCCACGCCGGUAAGAGAUGGGCUCGCGUCCUAUUAGCUAGUUGGGGAGGUAACGGCCCACCAAGGCGACGAUGGGUAACCGGCCUGAGAGCGUGAACGGUCACAUUGGAACUGAGACACGGUCCACACUCCUACGGGAGGCAGCAGUGGGGAAUAUUGCACAAUGGAGGGAACUCUGAUGCCGCGGCGCCGCGUGAGAGAUGAAGGAAUUCGUUUCGUAAAGCUCUGUUCUAUGGGAAGAAAAGGACUGUACCAUAGGAGAAAGCCCCGGCUAAAUACGUG